GUCAGGAAGGAGGCUGAGAACAGCGAUUGUCUUCAAGGUGCGAACUAUGUUUUUGAAUCUCGAUCUGUUUUUUUUUAUUUUGAAGCUGCGUAGGAACGAGAACAAACGAAAUCGAUUUUGGUCUUUGUUGAUUGAGAUGGUUUGUGUUAUGUACAUUUUUGUGAUAGAUAUGGUUCUCUUCUCUUUUAUGUUUACAGUUAACCGUUGCUCACAAACCAUUGCUGGCCACGAGGAAGCUGUGCUUUGUGUUUCAUUUAGUCCUGACGG